GGGCCCGCACAAGCGGUGGAGCAUGUGGUUCAAUUCGAAGCAACGCGAAGAACCUUACCAGCCCUUGACAUCCCGGUCGCGGAGAGCAGAGACGCACUCCUUCAGUUCGGCUGGACCGGAGACAGGUGCUGCAUGGCUGUCGUCAGCUCGUGUCGUGAGAUGUUGGGUUAAGUCCCGCAACGAGCGCAACCCUCGCCCUUAGUUGCCAUCAUUCAGUUGGGCACUCUAAGGGGACUGCCGGUGAUAAGCCGGAGGAAGGUGGGGAUGACGUCAAGUCCUCAUGGCCCUUACGGGCUGGGCUACACACGUGCUACAAUGGCGGUGACAGAGGGAUGCAAAGGGGCGACCCUUCGCAAAUCUCAAAAAUCCGUCUCAGUUCGGAUUGGGGUCUGCAACUCGACCCCAUGAAGUUGGAAUCGCUAGUAAUCGCAGAUCAGCACGCUGCGGUGAAUACGUUCCCGGGCCUU
rnacentral:rRNA from 1 species